CAACUUGCUGGAUGAAGAAGACAGAAUUUACAGUGAUCUGUUUCACAGUGCAAGAACUUCAACAAGGAAGUAGACUUAUAAGACCACAGCAUGGUGCUUAAAGUGCUUGUGAUAUCUACCUCACUGGAUAUGGAUAUCCAAACAGAUUUUAGAAGCAGUUGAGAGAUUUUUUUCCAAGCCUCUCUGAAGAGUAACACAGCAUAAGGGUGAUUUUAACAUCAGAAUGAAAUUCAGGCUGAGCCCCAUUCAUUUCAACUGAAAUGAGGAAGUGCUUAUGGAUCCCUGUUAAGGCAGGAUGAAGACACAACGACCAGAUCCGAAACAGGUGUGCCAACUUGAGCUCCUACUUCCCCAUCAUUUCGUUUGCUUCAGCAGGCAUUCCCAGUUCACACGGUGCACUUUUUGUUUGCCACCCACUCUACAACUGAAAAUUACGGAGAGCGUGUAGUGUGGUAUCAAAGUUUAAUAGCAAGCAUCAUUAUUAUUGUUCAAGGUGCAUUCUGCUAGAGAUCCAAGUUCAUGGACACUUCAGACAUGUCAGCACGUGGCUGUGCAGAAAAAAGAGGAGAAAAUACUUGAGAAGCUAUGAGGAAGCCUGUUGUGUCUCAUCAUCCUUGCUGACAGUAGCUGCCACUUUCAGUGCUCACCUGGGCCCAGCAUGUGCAGGAACAGCACCAAAGUCACCUUUCCCAUUGAGCUCUCUGGCCUUUGUUGGGUCUCUGCCUCUUUGGUUGGUCUCCAGCAGCAGAU